rnacentral:rRNA from 1 species
AAGUGGAGCAAUCCAUGAGUAGAGUGGCAAACGGGUGAGUAACGCGUGGGCGACCUACCUCAGAGUGGGGGAUAACCUUCCGAAAGGAGGGCUAAUACCGCAUGACAUACCGUGUUUGGAUACACGGAUAUCAAAGCCGGGGAUCGCAAGACCUGGCGCUUGGAGAGGGGCCCGCGUCCGAUUAGCUAGUUGGUGGGGUAACAGCCUACCAAGGCUCCGAUCGGUAUCCGGCCUGAGAGGGCGGACGGACACACUGGGACUGAGACACGGCCCAGACUCCUACGGGAGGCAGCAGUGGGGAAUUGUUCGCAAUGGGCGCAAGCCUGACGACGCAACGCCGCGUGGAGGAUGAAGGAUUUCGGU